UAGGGAAUCUUCCACAAUGGACGCAAGUCUGAUGGAGCAACGCCGCGUGAGUGAAGAAGGCUUUCGGGUCGUAAAACUCUGUUAUUGAAGAAGAACGUGUGUGACAGUAACUGGUCAUGCAGUGACGGUAUUCAAUCAGAAAGUCACGGCUAACUACGUGCCAGCAGCCGCGGUAAUACGUAGGUGGCAAGCGUUGUCCGGAUUUAUUGGGCGUAAAGCGAGUGCAGGCGGUCUUUUAAGUCUGAUGUGAAAGCCUUCGGCUUAACCGAAGAAGGGCAUCGGAAACUGGGAGACUUGAGUGCAGAAGAGGAGAGUGGAACUCCAUGUGUAGCGGUGAAAUGCGUAGAUAUAUGGAAGAACACCAGUGGCGAAGGCGGCUCUCUGGUCUGUAACUGACGCUGAGGCUCGAAAGCGUGGGUAGCAAACAGGAUUAGAUACCCUGGUAGUC
rnacentral:rRNA from 1 species